GCUCGGUUAGCUCAGUUGGAUAGAGCGUCUGACUGUUAUUUAGUAACACGUCAAUCAGGAGGUCGACAGUUCGAUCCUGUCACUGAGCG